GGGCGCUACCGUGAAUUUAUAAUGGAUUCACAUAGCUGGUGCAUGGCUGAUGAUGAACCAUGAUUAGUGGAUCAGAAGCCACGUGUUACAAGCAAAGAAAAUGUGCAGUUUCUAGAAGAGCACAAAAUACACGUGAAGUAAAGAAAGCUGACAGCUCGUCACCGCUCAACGGUAAGGAGGUGGCGCAUGAGCGUGACCCGGUCUGGUUCUUCCUUGUUUGAUUUCUUUUAUCCUUCUCCCUAUGCUAGUUUGACCCAUUCCGAUUCAUUUGAUGUGUCUCCAGGUCUCCACUCAAAAUGUGUGAAUAAUGCUUGUCCUUCUGCGUCAAGCUCUUCAAAGUCUUGAUGUAAUCUCCGAGCCAUGCUUCUAGUGUCGGGUCCAUGACUGGUCUUGAGACCCAUGUCAUCAGUUAUAGUGCAUUUGCUUCCUGGGUUGGAAGGACACUAGAUGUAGGCAUUGUUGGCCGAACCAGUAUAAAAACAUUGUUUGCUUUUCUCUAUUCCUGCAUUUUUACUUUACAGUCGACCUUACAUUUAAUGCAGUCAACUACGUUUUUUCCGCUGCAUACUAAUUUUCAUUACUUGCAUUUCAAGAAAGUUUGAAAAGUUUCAUACUUUGAUUUCAAGAUUGUGAAAAGAUUUUGUUUUUUAUAAAACACCAAUUCACCCCCC
rnacentral:lncRNA from 1 species